UCUUUAUAUAGAAAAUUUCAGAAGACCUUGCCGUUUAGCCCGUGAACCGUGAAUAUAUUUAGUUGGGGUGACGCGAAGUCAUAAACACUUCUUACUAACACGAUAAUUUAAGGACUAAUGACCCGGCUAGCCGAUCAAAAAAUCAAGU
rnacentral:rRNA from 1 species